UUACAGUGUUGCAUUAGCUGAAAACUCACCCCUUAGGUCUGAGCUUGUAUUUAAACAGAAAGAGGACACAAGGACAAAGAAACAAAAAGGUUAUCUAACUCCAAACAAGAAACCUGGACAACGUAUUGAAGAUCAGCCACUGACAUUUAAAACCAACGUCAAGUCCUCGGGAUACACUGCCUCUCCAAGGAACACUAUGUUUAAACCAAGGACAGACUUCUCCAGUAGUGCUUCAGCAGCCAGCAGAGGACUACCCAAAUCAGCCUCAUCUGGAUCGGUUGUUGGGAAGAUGAACCAGAAACAGUACCCAACUGACUGUUCCGCACCAUCAGUGUUACAGACCAAGAUAAAUGUUGCUGAACGUCCAACACCAAUCCACUGUGUCCGAU